rnacentral:rRNA from 1 species
GACGAACGCUGGCGGCGUGCCUAAUACAUGCAAGUAGAACGCUGAAGACUUUAGCUUGCUAAAGUUGGAAGAGUUGCGAACGGGUGAGUAACGCGUAGGUAACCUGCCUACUAGCGGGGGAUAACUAUUGGAAACGAUAGCUAAUACCGCAUAACAGCAUUUAACCCAUGUUAGAUGCUUGAAAGGAGCAAUUGCUUCACUAGUAGAUGGACCUGCGUUGUAUUAGCUAGUUGGUGAGGUAACGGCUCACCAAGGCGACGAUACAUAGCCGACCUGAGAGGGUGAUCGGCCACACUGGGACUGAGACACGGCCCAGACUCCUACGGGAGGCAGCAGUAGGGAAUCUUCGGCAAUGGGGGCAACCCUGACCGAGCAACGCCGCGUGAGUGAAGAAGGUUUUCGGAUCGUAAAGCUCUGUUGUAAGAGAAGAACGUGUGUGAGAGUGGAAAGUUCACACAGUGACG